rnacentral:rRNA from 1 species
GGUCCAGACUCCUACGGGAGGCAGCAGUGAGGAAUAUUGGUCAAUGGGCGCGAGCCUGAACCAGCCAAGUCGCGUGAGGGAAUAAGGCCCUACGGGUCGUAAACCUCUUUUGCCGGGGAGCAAGGGCGGGGACGUGUCCCGGCCCGGAGAGUACCCGGAGAAAAAGCAUCGGCUAACUCCGUGCCAGCAGCCGCGGUAAUACGGAGGAUGCGAGCGUUAUCCGGAUUUAUUGGGUUUAAAGGGUGCGUAGAUGGGUUGUUAAGUCAGUUGUGAAAGUUUGCGGCUCAACCGUAAAAUUGCAAUUGAUACUGGCAGUCUUGAGUACAGUUGAGGUAGGCGGAAUUCGUGGUGUAGCGGUGAAAUGCUUAGAUAUCACGAAGAACCCCGAUUGCGAAGGCAGCUUACUAAACUGUGACUGACAUUGAUGCUCGAAAGUGUGGGUAUCAAACAGGAUUAGAUACCCCAGUAA